GAAGAACGUACAAAAUCUCGAAAGGGAAGAACAGUCGCACCACAGAUCCAAAUGAGGUGGCAGAUGAUUCUUAUGGGUUUUUCACCAGAUCUAGUGAAUCAAGCAUUUGAAUCUUUCUCAGGGAGAGAACCCCCAGGAUGAGGGCUUAGAAAUGUGAAAAAAUGGGCAAACUCUCAUUUUGAUGCCAAAUUGAUCACAAACGCCUAGCAACGGGGACGCUGGCUGCUCAAGCUGCUCUGUCACCAGGAUCCAUCACACACCAACUCCCUGCGCUACAGAUGCUCCGCUAUCAUCGCAACGGACUGAAUGUCGCUGGAGUUAAUGCUGCUAAUCUUCUUCAGCGACACAUCCAGAGCUCUUCCGCAGUCAAAGCCGCUCUUAAUGAAUGUGAGGUCUCUUUCGAACAAGACCUACAUUCUUCAAGACAACUUUAUGUCUCUUCAGCUGAACUUUCUAUUCAUUACAGAGACUUGGCUCAACAACGGUGAUGUCAUUCCUUUCUGUGAACUUUGCCCUCCUAAGUGCAGCUUCUUCAAUUCCCCAAGGUCUACUGGUCAUUGAGGUGGUUUAAAGACUGUUGUUAUUUUGCUUUUAUCAGGUACAGCUUUGUAUGUCUAUGUGCACACUGAACUUUAUUGUCUGUCCUGUUUUGUUACUUGUGUUGUCAAUCAGUGUAUGUCUUGCUGCACAAUCAAUUGCCCUUUUGGGACAAUAAAGAUGGAAAGUUGAAAGUUGAA